rnacentral:rRNA from 1 species
UACGUAGGGGGCAAGCGUUGUCCGGAUUUAUUGGGCGUAAAGAGCGUGUAGGCGGUUAGGUAGGUCCGUUGUGAAAACUCGAGGCUCAACCUCGAGACGCCGAUGGAAACCAUCUGACUAGAGUCCAGAAGAGGAGAGUGGAAUUCCUGGUGUAGCGGUGAAAUGCGCAGAUAUCAGGAAGAACACCCGUGGCUAAGGCGGCUCUCUAGUACGUGACUGACGCUGAGACGCGAAAGCGUGGGGAGCGAACAGG